rnacentral:rRNA from 1 species
GAUGAACGCUGGCGGCGUGCCUAAUACAUGCAAGUCGAGCGAACGGACGAGAAGCUUGCUUCUCUGAUGUUAGCGGCGGACGGGUGAGUAACACGUGGAUAACCUACCUAUAAGACUGGGAUAACUUCGGGAAACCGGAGCUAAUACCGGAUAAUAUUUUGAACCGCAUGGUUCAAAAGUGAAAGACGGUCUUGCUGUCACUUAUAGAUGGAUCCGCGCUGCAUUAGCUAGUUGGUGAGGUAACGGCUUACCAAGGCAACGAUGCAUAGCCGACCUGAGAGGGUGAUCGGCCACACUGGAACUGAGACACGGUCCAGACUCCUACGGGAGGCAGCAGUAGGGAAUCUUCCGCAAUGGGCGAAAGCCUGACGGAGCAACGCCGCGUGAGUGAUGAAGGUCUUCGGAUCGUAAAACUCUGUUAUUAGGGAAGAACAUAUGUGUAAGUAACUGUGCACAUCUUGACGGUACCUAAUCAGAAAGCCACGGCUAACUACGUG